rnacentral:rRNA from 1 species
CGCGGCCUAUCAGCUUGUUGGUGAGGUAAAGGCUCACCAAGGCAUUGACGGGUAGCUGGUCUGAGAGGACGAUCAGCCACACUGGGACUGAGACACGGCCCAGACUCCUGCGGGAGGCAGCAGUGGGGAAUCUUGCGCAAUGGGCGAAAGCCUGACGCAGCAACGCCGCGUGGGGGAUGAAGGCUCUCGGGUUGUAAACCCCUUUCAGCAGGGACGAAAUUGACGGUACCUGUAGAAGAAGCCCCGGCCAACUACGUGCCAGCAGCCGCGGCAACACGUAGGGGGCGAGCGUUGUCCGGAAUUAUUGGGCGUAAAGGGCUCGUAGGCGGUUCGGUAAGUCAGAUGUGAAAGGUUGGGGCUCAACCCUAAGACUGCAUUUGAUACUGCCGUGACUAGAGUCCGGUAGAGGAGUGUGGAAUUCCUGGUGUAGCGGUGAAAUGCGCAGAUAUCAGGAGGAACACCGACGGCGAAGGCAGCACUCUGGGCCGGUACUGACGCUGAGGAGCGAAAGCGUGGGUAGCAAACAGGAUUAGAUACCCUGGUAGUCCACGCCGUAAACGUUGGGCACUAGGUGUGGGACCUUAUCAACGGGUUCCGUGCCGUAGCUAACGCAUUAAGUGCCCCGCCUGGGGAGUACGG